UACAUCUUAUGCAAAUAUUCGUUUAACAAUCUUAAUAUCUUCUUAAGUAUUGUUAAGGCACUUAAAGGAGAAAGAAACAAAAAAAAAGAAGGGAGAAACGAAAUAAGCAAAGGGGAGGAGAAGAAAGAGCAUAGGAGCUGAAUACACAGAAAACAUCUUUUGUAGAGACUCCGGACUAUCUUUACCGUUCGAGGCUAGAAGGGAGUCUUGAGGAGAGGGGAGAGAAGAUGGAAGAUAUCAAACUUGAAAUCAUUUGGCACAUAAUCGGUUCAGUUGCAGUUCCGUAUCCCAGGUGCGUGUAAAGUGAGGAGUGUUCAAGCCAUUCACAUUGAGGGACACAAUUUUCAAAUUAUCCGCCAUCAUACAUAUCAAG